rnacentral:rRNA from 1 species
CAAGUCGAGGGGGGGUAGCAAUACCUCACCGGCGAACGGGUGCGUAACACGUGAGCAACCUACCGAUUUCUGGGGGAUAGCCGGCCCAACGGCCGGGUAAUACCGCAUACGCUCUUCGCGAGGAGUCUCGUGGAGAGGAAACCUCCGGGGGAGAUCGAGGGGCUCGCGGCCUAUCAGCUAGUUGGUGCGGUCACGGCGCACCAAGGCGAUGACGGGUAGCUGGUCUGAGAGGAUGGCCAGCCACAUUGGGACUGAGGGACGGCCCAGACUCCUACGGGAGGCAGCAGUGGGGAAUCUUGCGCAAUGGUCGAAAGACUGACGCAGCGACGCCGCGUGCGGGAGGAAGCUCUUCGGGGUGUAAACCGCUGUUGCCCGGAACGAAACUCAGGAUUCGUCCUGAUUGACGGUACCGGGUGAGGAAGCGCCGGCUAACUCUGUGCCAGCAGCCGCGGUAAUACAGAGGGCGCGAGCGUUGUCCGGAAUCACUGGGCGUAAAGGGCGCGUAGGUGGCCACCAUAAGGCCGCGGUGAAAGUUCGGGGCUCAACCCCGGAUCGGCCGCGGCGACUGUGGGGCUCGGGUACUGUAGAGGCAGAUGGAAUUCCGGGUGUAGCGGUGGAAUGCGUAGAGAUCCGGAAGAACACCAGUGGCGAAGGCGGUCUGCUGGGCAGUGGGCUCGAAAGGGCCCUUCAACCGACACUGAGGCGCGACAGCGUGGGGAGCAAACAGGAUUAGAUACCCUGGUAGUCCACGCCGUAAACGAUGGGCACUAGGUGCUCCGGGGAGCGACCCUUGGGGUACCGGCGCUAACGCAUGAAGUGCCCCGCCUGGGGAGUACGGCCGCAAGGCUGAAACUCAAAGGAAUUGACGGGGGGCCCGCACAAGCGGUGGAGCAUGUGGUUUAAUUCGACGCA